GUCACUCCCUCAUUGAUUCGGCCGUUCAGCACCUGUGUCUUGAGUGCUGCUAUGGGACGAACACCAUUUUAGGUGCUGGGGAUUCAGGUGGUGAAGAAAAAACCGCUUUGUGAUGACCUCAUGCACCUUCCAGUGUAGACGAGACCCAUGGAAAAUCUCUCCCAGAAGCCUCCAGGAGACAUGCACUUACUUCUCAUUGGCCGGAGUCAGGGCAUCAGUCCACCUGGAAACCAAUCACUGGCAAAGGGGAAUGAUUUACAUCAAUAACAGUUGUCCUCCUGGGACUGGGGACGGAGCAUCUCUCCCUUGAGCUCACUGCCAUCUGCUCUGUGCUGGAACAAAGUGGGAGUUCGCUCAGUCAGGAGGAAGGGAGGACAGCAGUCUCUCUGUUGCAGAGAGAACUAGUUCAGGCUUCUUUUGAUCUCUAGGAGUCCCUGCUUGAUCCUCGCAACAGCCCUGCAAGGUGGGAUUUACCGUCCCCAUCACAUAGAUGAGAACACUGAGACCCAAGAGCACAAAGACUCCCUUGCUCAGUCUGGCUUCUAGACCAGCUCUCCUCCCCACCCUCUCAGGGAGUGGACCCUCACCCUGACAGGGUUGGCCGACAGGACCAAGAUGGUGCCAAGAAUCGCCCUCCUCACUUACAGGAGACCCCUAGGG
ensembl:lncRNA